GCAUCCCACUCUUUGCGCUCUUCCUCAGAAGGCCCUGCAAGGAACUAGCAAAGUCUAAGCAGGAAGGCACAGGAUUGGCACAUUAUCUGCAGCAUGCGCUGUUGUAAGACCGGCAACAGGAAUCAGCACCAUACUUGGGCCGAUGCAUGGUGUGCCAGGAAACUGGGCCUUCUGGCGCGCAACAUACCCCUUCCACCAGUCUUCAUCCUGCGUUGCAUGAAAGAUCAAGCAGUAAAGCGUAACACAGAUUCCUGAAAGAGAAGAACCAUACAGCCAUAUCGGUGAAAACGGUACGAGCGCAUCAAACUUACAUAAAUGCCUUCCUUUGGAAACCCUGGAUCUUCAUCAGCUCCAUGGGUGGCAGCUGUCUUUGAAGGAACAGGAUCCUUUCCUCUCAAGAUCCUGAAAGCGCCCUUUGCCUUCGCCUUGAACUUCUCAAAACUUCCUGGCUGCAAGCAGAAAACCACUGGUGAGGGUCGCAAUCAAGAGAGAUAUAAAGACAGGGAAAGAAUCUGCAAAAUAGGAAUGUUACUCACCGGAUCCGGUGAUCCAGAGCUGGUUCCUCUUGACAUCAUUUCCUUUGUGUAUGUUUCCCUAGAGAAUACGCAAAAAUACCUGUUGUACUGAACUAUGAUCCAACGAUAUCGCGUGCACAGUCCAACUUUCCCAUGAGCAAAAGAAUAAAGUUCAAGCAAGGGGCAAACCCUACCCAGACGAAAGGUGAUAACAGAGGGGGACUGCU
rnacentral:lncRNA from 1 species